UGGCGUAAACAAAGGGAAGCGACCGCGUGAGCGUAAGCAAAUCUCAAAAAUAACGUCUCAGUUCGGAUUGUAGUCUGCAACCCGACUACAUGAAGCUGGAAUCGCUAGUAAUCGCGAAUCAGAAUGUCGCGGUGAAUACGUUCCCGGGUCUUGUACACACCGCCCGUCACACCAUGGGAGUUGACAACGCCCGAAGUCAGUGACCCAACCGAAAGGAAGGAGCUGCCGAAGGCGGGGUUGAUAACUGGGGUGAAGUCGUAACAAGGUACC
rnacentral:rRNA from 1 species